rnacentral:precursor_RNA from 1 species
GGCUUGAGGACCGUAUUCAUGGAAGAGGAUUGAACAGACUACUGAGUUCUUAAGAGAAAAAUGGCACUUAAGAAAUUGAUGGUGAUAUCAAAGGAAGGUUACUUAUUACUCUUGGACUUUGAUGAUGAGGACGAUGACAUAAAAGUUUCAGAGGAGGCUCUUGCGGAAGAGAUGAAGUAGACAGUAUGUUGGAUAAAUCUGGAGUAAAGAACCCAGCAAUUGGUAAAGAUGAGAAUAUAUCGCCUCAAGUAAAAGGAGAUGAAGACAUGGGAGAUGAAAUUGACAGUAUGUUGGCUACAUCUGGAGAUUAUCUGAAUGAAACAUAGCAACUGUAACUUAAAUCAAGAAAGCUAUUCUGUGCGGACAUUAGAAGUGUGAAACUAAUUCUCAAAAGGUGUAUAUUAUCUGAAUCAACACUUAUAAUUUCCUACCCAUUUAACAACACAGCAAGUUCUUCAUGCCUAGCAGGAUUAUUCUGGUACUUAAAUUUAAUGUUUUCAAAGAUGACAAAAGACCAACUGGAAAUUCAGAAAAGCACAGUGAAUACAGAAUUAUCCCAGAAUACAAGCUACCCCCCCUAUUGUAGGGAAAAGAGUGGAUAUUCUGACAGUAAAUAGCUUUUAAAUAUAAACUAUUGAAAUAAAUUAGAGUUAAACAAAGAAAGGGGGUACUAAAGCAUUCAGGAAUUCCAAGAAGAAAGAACUUAUGGCAUAGCAUUGAGGCAAUCUCACAAGGAAAUAAUUAGAUUUUAGAAAGUGCCCCUGUGUUUCUGAAUGAUGCAAGCCUUUAUUGCUGUGUAGCCAAAGGGAAACAGAAAUUCUUCACAAAAAUCAAAGAGGGGAGUGAAAUAAACACCUUCCAUCCAGCAAGAUCAAAAAUUGCUCAUAGAAAAAUGGCAAGGUAUGCAACAGGCAAACGAAGUUCCUGUGUCAGUAAAGUAGGAUCUUCAAUUAUAGCCUCAAUUUUACACUUUCUCAGUGUAUCAAUUUCUAUAAAAUAUGACCUCUCAAAUAAUCAGUUUGACUAAAGAUUUAAUAAAUCAUUCUGUGAACUAUAUUCCAGCUGCAUCAUUGGACUGAAAGUGAAUGGCCCAUGUGUUGCCACUGAUGUGAGCCAUUUGCAAGCC